UUCUGGAUUGAAACCUUCCUAAAAUUUGAACUAUUCUCAAAUAACACCAAAAAGCUUAAAAAAAUGACACACCACACGAAAAAUGUUAUCUCAAUUUAUCCGCCAAUUUUUUGCAAGUGUUUUAGGUGACAAUUUUAAAAAAGUAUUUUGUGGUAACUCAAAUUAGGCUUCGGGGGGUAUAUGAAAAUUACCCUCUUUCUCUUCCUCCUGCCGCAAUCAGAGGUUUCAACGCGAAACGAGGAUCCGCCUCUUGAAAAAGAGUUAACUUUUUCCAUCUCCAGCUUCUCUUACUCAUCAAUCAGGGCUUUGCACUCCGUCAUUUGAUCAUUCACGUUUCCUCGAAUCCCCAAAAAGGCUUCUAUGAGACAAGGGUUGCAUAUUAUUCAUGAAGGGGUUCGCAGGAUGGAUAGACAGUUUAUCUAGAAGCAUUUGAUUGGGAAUGAGCUCCUCACCGGUUCCAACUAUGACAACUGGAAGAUGCAAGUUAAAAUAGUACUUGGGUGUCUUGACUACGACUAUGUUCUCA